CCUACGGGUGGCAGCAGUCGAGAAUCAUUCACAAUGGGGGAAACCCUGAUGGUGCGACGCCGCGUGGGGGAAUGAAGGUCUUCGGAUUGUAAACCCCUUUCAUGUGGGAGCAAAUUAAAAAGAUAGUACCACAAGAGGAAGAGACGGCUAACUCUGUGCCAGCAGCCGCGGUAAUACAGAGGUCUCAAGCGGUGUUCGGAAUCACUGGGCGUAAAGCGUGCGUAGGCUGUUUCGUAAGUCGUGUGUGAAAGGCGCGGGCUCAACCCGCGGACGGCACAUGAUACUGCGAGACUAGAGUAAUGGAGGGGGAACCGGAAUUCUUGGUGUAGCAGUGAAAUGCGUAGAUAUCGAGAGGAACACUCGUGGCGAAGGCGGGUUGCUGGACAUUAACUGACGCUGAGGCACGAAGGCCAGGGGAGCGAAAGGGAUUAGAUACCCCAGUAGUC
rnacentral:rRNA from 1 species